UGGGGCGGUCAUCGCCAUCUUACUGGGCAGCAUUGGAUGGAGUCUGGUCUCUAAUACUGCCUGGUAAUGAUGACGGCGGGGCCCUGCUC
rnacentral:pre_miRNA from 1 species